AAUGGCAUAUCCGUAAGAUUUUA
rnacentral:siRNA from 1 species